AAAGUGGUGGUGCAGCUGGACGCUGUGCUCUGUGUGAGUUGAGGAGCGGGUUGAGGCAGAGCACACCAGCUUUCGGGUACCCGUGCCGAAGUUCAAGAAAUUCCAGGGGCUGGGAGCCAAACAUCUGUGUUUCCCCUUGGGAGGUGCCAAACGCUAUGUUCCCCCCAUGAAUCGGGCAAGCUUAGGACCUUGUUUUCUCAGCCGGCAGAGUUGUGAGAGCUCGGGCAGGGUGACACAGCUGGCACCAGAAACAAUGCACCACCUCUUCCUCCUGAGAAGCUGAAGGUCAGAGAACAAGUGGGAAAGUUCAGAAGGAGCCCAUGGAGAAAAGAAGUGCGAAGGUCCCAAAACGUGGCUUGUUCCUUACGGUAUUGCAUGCGCUGAGACCAAGCACCUGGAGUCAGAUGCCUCUUGGGUGCACAGCUUGGACCCACAUUGCAUGUCCUGGAGAAAGGUGGCUGGAGAAAGGAGAAUCUUGGGGUUAAGUAAAAGCUUCAGAGAAAUUCUAUCUUAUCACACUUCAUUUCCGAGGCUGCAAAAACGAGAAGCCUCCCAGUUUUGUUAUGGGCCAGGUUUAGUAGUGUCUGAGAGGAGCUACUGGGAGAAACGCUUCAUGGAUACUGGGAAAUGAAAAAUAAUAAAAGAAGAAGAUGAGUUACGGUAAUUUGUUGUUUAGACAUAUUCAGUUUGUCCAUCUGACCUUUGGAGGGCAGAUGGGAAAACAAAGUACUUCAGGUUUCCUGAUGGCUUAUUGGGAACAGUUUGUGUUCAGGGCAUUGCCAAAUUUCAGCAGAAUGUCUCCUGAGGAGCCGAGGAACAACUCGUGACAACCAAGAUCCCUACCAAUUUGUCUUGUGUCCACUCUGCAUGUGUUCUGGAUCCUGAUAAUACAUGUGGGAUGACUGUAAGGUGGUUGUUACAAACUGUUCCUUGAGAUGUUUCACCAUGACACUCAGCACAGGAUAUACAAUACCAUUAAAAUAACUCGUUACCAAGUU